rnacentral:lncRNA from 1 species
AUCCAUUUCGAUUACAUGUGCUAAAUUUUGUGGUCUCUGAAAUGAUAUACAGUAAUGGGCUGUUUCAGCAAAUAUAAUCAAAUCGUUUCAUUUACUUUAGCAUGCAAAUUCAAGCUCCCUACUGCAGUUUGGAACUGAAAAAAAGUUGCCCGCACGGCAGAUGCUGAUGGCUUUGUUUUAUUCUCCUUCGGCUGAGAGCAGGCUUGAUAGACUUUCUCUGUAAACUCUGAAUUCUAGACCGGCAUCUCCUACCGCCUACCGAGGGGUUUCCCAGCCAAUCUGAAUGUGAAUUUAAGCAAAAGAUGAUAGAAGAAAGAAUUGGACUCCUGUUUUUGAAUGAAAAUAUGUAUAUAAGUCAGCCAAUAUGGACCCACUCCUGUCAUACAAGGGAACAAUGAAUAUGACUUCUCUUCUCCUCUCCCUCUCAGGUGGCAAAGGCAAAAGACUCCGUUUCUGUCGACUUCAAAGCCUGUUCUCACUCACUAACGCCAAAAGCCU